rnacentral:rRNA from 1 species
GAUGAACGCUGGCGGCGUGCCUAAUACAUGCAAGUCGAGCGAACAGACGAGGAGCUUGCUCCUUUGACGUUAGCGGCGGACGGGUGAGUAACACGUGGGUAACCUACCUAUAAGACUGGGAUAACUUCGGGAAACCGGAGCUAAUACCGGAUAAUAUUUCGAACCGCAUGGUUCGAUAGUGAAAGAUGGCUUUGCUAUCACUUAUAGAUGGACCUGCGCCGUAUUAGCUAGUUGGUAAGGUAACGGCUUACCAAGGCAACGAUACGUAGCCGACCUGAGAGGGUGAUCGGCCACACUGGAACUGAGACACGGUCCAGACUCCUACGGGAGGCAGCAGUAGGGAAUCUUCCGCAAUGGGCGAAAGCCUGACGGAGCAACGCCGCGUGAGUGAUGAAGGUCUUCGGAUCGUAAAACUCUGUUAUUAGGGAAGAACAAACGUGUAAGUAACUGUGCACGUCUUGACGGUACCUAAUCAGAAAGCCACGGCUAACUACGUGCCAGCAGCCGCGGUAAUACGUAGGUGGCAAGCGUUAUCCGGAAUUAUUGGGCGUAAAGCGCGCGUAGGCGGUUUUUUAAGUCUGAUGUGAAAGCCCACGGCUCAACCGUGGAGGGUCAUUGGAAACUGGAAAACUUGAGUGCAGAAGAGGAAAGUGGAAUUCCAUGUGUAGCGGUGAAAUGCGCAGAGAUAUGGAGGAACACCAGUGGCGAAGGCGACUUUCUGGUCUGUAACUGACGCUGAUGUGCGAAAGCGUGGGGAUCAAACAGGAUUAGAUACCCUGGUAGUCCACGCCGUAAACGAUGGGUGCUAAGUGUUAGGGGGUUUCCGCCCCUUAGUGCUGCAGCUAACGCAUUAAGCACUCCGCCUGGGGAGUACGACCGCAAGGUUGAAACUCGAAGGAAUUGACGGGGACCCGCACAAGCGGUGGAGCAUGUGGUUUAAUUCGAAGCAACGCGAAGAACCUUACCAAAUCUUGACAUCCUUUGACCCUUCUAGAGAUAGAAGUUUCCCCUUCGGGGGACAAAGUGACAGGUGGUGCAUGGUUGUCGUCAGCUCGUGUCGUGAGAUGUUGGGUUAAGUCCCGCAACGAGCGCAACCCUUAAGCUUAGUUGCCAUCAUUAAGUUGGGCACUCUAAGUUGACUGCCGGUGACAAACCGGAGGAAGGUGGGGAUGACGUCAAAUCAUCAUGCCCCUUAUGAUUUGGGCUACACACGUGCUACAAUGGACAAUACAAAGGGCAGCGAAACCGCGAGGUCAAGCAAAUCCCAUAAAGUUGUUCUCAGUUCGGAUUGUAGUCUGCAACUCGACUACAUGAAGCUGGAAUCGCUAGUAAUCGUAGAUCAGCAUGCUACGGUGAAUACGUUCCCGGGUCU